rnacentral:lncRNA from 1 species
ACAAAGUGCACUCUAUAUGUAAACAAUACUUUGGAUGUAAAUGAUACCAAAUAUGUCAAAAUUUGAUUUGUUCUUUAUGAUUAUUAUGAUUAUUUUUUUUAUAUUGUUUUCAAGGCACAUAUUUCAUAGCACGUUGUUUCUUGUAGUCUGUGUUCAGUCAUUUACAAUUUUGUCUGACAUAUAGUUACUAUAUUAGCAAAGUCUACGUGUCAGUAGUAGUUGGGUAGUCAGCCUGGUAUCAGUAAAAAGCAUCAUAUUGUGAUGCUUUUUAGCAAAAGCAUCACAAUAUGAUGCAUGGCAAUGAUAUUGUAAUGGGUUAGUAAGCUAUGGUUGAAGGAUGACUGAUGAAAUUAAUCUUGUACGCACUUAAGAGGUGACCUUGCUUUUUACUAAGAGCUGUACCAUUGCACUUGAAUAUUCAUGUUCUACUUUAGUGCCAAUAUGUUUUGUUUUUUUAAUGACCAUUGAGAUGUCCUGAAAGUCAGGCUUUAGCUGUCCUACAGCCACCAUUAAAAACACAAAUAAAAACAAAACGUUAGACCUAAAGGACAUUGUAGGGUGUGUCCUGAAUGGUUAACUAUUCCCUAUAUAGUGUUCUAAGUUUCACCAUGGCCCAUGGGGCUCUGGUCAAAGUGUGAAAAAUAUAGAGAAUACUGUGCCAUUUGGAAGUCAGCCAUAGUAUGUAGUUAUACACAAGGGUAUUGUAAUAGGUAGCUUUAUCUACGUACAUAUAAAACAGCACAAUGGUUAUGUUCAGAUUUUGUUGUCAAUACUAUGUGAUACAGUCGAUUACUUUUAUGUCUAUAUUUCACUGCCUUCAUUUGUUUAUAGUCGAUGAGCUUUAUCGUUGUUUUAUAGUACUCCUUGUUGGGUUAUGUUAUGUUGUAAGUUGGAUUUGUCUGUAGUGCAUCAUAACACGGACAUAUGGUUAUGUACAUUUCAUCUUGUUUACAUCAUUACUCUGUAGUAGAUAUCUUGGAAUAUAAAUGCUAAUCAUUUCUA